rnacentral:rRNA from 1 species
GAUGAACGCUGGCGGCGUGCCUAAUACAUGCAAGUCGAGCGAACAGACGAGGAGCUUGCUCCUCUGACGUUAGCGGCGGACGGGUGAGUAACACGUGGAUAACCUACCUAUAAGACUGGGAUAACUUCGGGAAACCGGAGCUAAUACCGGAUAACAUGUUGAACCGCAUGGUUCAACAGUGAAAGACGGUUUUGCUGUCACUUAUAGAUGGAUCCGCGUCGCAUUAGCUAGUUGGUAAGGUAACGGCUUACCAAGGCAACGAUGCGUAGCCGACCUGAGAAGGUAAUCGGCCACACUAGAACUGAGACACGGUCCAGACUCCUACGGGAGGCAGCAGUAGGGAAUCUUCCGCAAUGGGCGAAAGCCUGACGGAGCAACGCCGCGUGAGUGAAGAAGGUCUUCGGAUCGUAAAACUCUGUUAUUAGGGAAGAACAAAUGUGUAAGUAACUAUGCACGUCUUGACGGUACCUAAUCAGAAAGCCACGGCUAACUACGUG